rnacentral:rRNA from 1 species
GCUAAGAAUCUUGCGCAAUGGGCGAAAGCCUGACGCAGCAACGCCGCGUGGGGGACGAAGGCCUUCGGGUCGUAAACCCCUUUUGCGAGGGAAGAAGUUCUGACGGUACCUCGCGAAUAAGCCACGGCUAACUCCGUGCCAGCAGCCGCGGUAAGACGGAGGGCGCAAGCGUUGUUCGGAAUUACUGGGCGUAAAGCGCGGGCAGGUGGUCUGUUAAGUCGUUUGUGAAAAUCCGGGGCUCAACCCCGGAAAUGCGUACGAUACUGGCAGACUGGAGAUCGGUAGAGGCUAGCGGAAUUCCUGGUGUAGCGGUGGAAUGCGUAGAGAUAUGGAGGAACACCAGUGGCGAAGGCGACUUUCUGGUCUGUAACUGACACUGAGGCGCGAAAGCGUGGGGAGCAAACAGGAUUAGAAACCCUAGUAGUCC